UACGAAGGGGGCUAGCGUUGUUCGGAAUCACUGGGCGUAAAGCGCACGCAGGCGGAUUGAUAAGUCAGGGGUGAAAUCCCGGGGCUCAACCUCGGAAUUGCCUUUGAUACUGUCUGUCUUGAGUUCGGGAGAGGUUGGCGGAAUUCCUAGUGUAGAGGUGAAAUUCGUAGAUAUUAGGAAGAACACCAGUGGCGAAGGCGGCCAACUGGCCCGAUACUGACGCUCAUGUGCGAAAGCGUGGGG
rnacentral:rRNA from 1 species